UUCUCAGUCGAGCGGUAGCACAGAGAGCUUGCUCUCGGGUGACGAGCGGCGGACGGGUGAGUAAUGUCUGGGAAACUGCCUGAUGGAGGGGGAUAACUACUGGAAACGGUAGCUAAUACCGCAUAACGUCGCAAGACCAAAGUGGGGGACCUUCGGGCCUCAUGCCAUCAGAUGUGCCCAGAUGGGAUUAGCUAGUAGGUGGGGUAACGGCUCACCUAGGCGACGAUCCCUAGCUGGUCUGAGAGGAUGACCAGCCACACUGGAACUGAGACACGGUCCAGACUCCUACGGGAGGCAGCAGUGGGGAAUAUUGCACAAUGGGCGCAAGCCUGAUGCAGCCAUGCCGCGUGUGUGAAGAAGGCCUUCGGGUUGUAAAGCACUUUCAGCGGGGAGGAAGGCGGUGAGGUUAAUAACCUCGUCGAUUGACGUUACCCGCAGAAGAAGCACCGGCUAACUCCGUGCCAGCAGCCGCGGUAAUACGGAGGGUGCAAGCGUUAAUCGGAAUUACUGGGCGUAAAGCGCACGCAGGCGGUCUGUCAAGUCGGAUGUGAAAUCCCCGGGCUCAACCUGGGAACUGCAUUCGAAACUGGCAGGCUAGAGUCUUGUAGAGGGGGGUAGAAUUCCAGGUGUAGCGGUGAAAUGCGUAGAGAUCUGUAGGAAUACCGGUGGCGAAGGCGGCCCCCUGGACAAAGACUGACGCUCAGGUGCGAAAGCGUGGGGAGCAAACAGGAUUAGAUACCCUGGUAGUCCACGCCGUAAACGAUGUCGAUUUGGAGGUGUGCCCUUGAGGCGUGGCUUCCGGAGCUAACGCGUUAAAUCGACCGCCUGGGGAGUACGGCCGCAAGGUUAAACUCAAAUG
rnacentral:rRNA from 1 species